UUUGUUUGAUCUCAAAGUCAGUGACAGCCAAAAAGGCCAGAGUGAUAAAUGGAUGAAAUAGGAAAGAAGGAAACAUGCUGUCAUAAUUUACUCAACUUUAUGUAGUUACAAACCUGGAGGACGAGUAAACAAUUGCAGAAUUUUCACUUUUGGGUCAAUUAAUUCAAAUACUCCAUGAAAGGAUGAAAGGACUGAGGGAUUCAGAUUGAGAAGAGAGUAAGAGGAGCAGAGGCGCUGAAGAGAGGGAGGGAGUGAGGUAGGUCUGAUCAGUCUAGGAGCUGCAUACACACUCUUACCAUACACAAGGGAAAUGGGUCCUCAGCUACACUUCAGCAGCACCUACUCAGAAGAAUUCAGUUACCCGGCUCGAGGCAAACCUGCCCGGCCCAGACCUUCCUCUGCAUAUCGCAGGAACAAUCCUCAUCCACGGCCGGACUUCCUGAUGCCAAGAAUGCUGCAGACAGGAUAUGGCUCACGGAAACACUUUCAGACAACUACUCCUCCUACCUCUUUUCUACCUCCAGUCAGACACAUAUCAGUCCAGUAUCCAGACGUACAAACAGCACAUGGACAGUUGAUGCAGCGCUCAUCACAAAAAGACUCCAAACCACCUGAGGUCUCGUCUGCAGUUUGUACACUGCCACCUGCUGCCUGGCUUCUCAAACCACAACAAACCAACUUUGCUCAUGCAACAGUCACAAACACACAAGGGAAAUAUUCAGACACAGAUCGUAUCAGAUCAGCUUUGAACCAACGGAUGGACAUCAUGCCAUCUUUAAAACCCUUCAGACAUCAGGUUACCCAUCAUCACAGAAGACCACACUCAAAAUUCACAAUUGAUCGCAGUGAAGGACGCAGCUGUUUCCAUGUGGUGAAGCCAUAUAAAGGUGGACACUACAUCAUCCACCCAGAGUUUGUGUCAGAAGCAAAGCACUACUAAAAAUGACUUGUUGUCAGUUUGAUAAUGUCAUUUUACAGUGUAUUUUUGAGGUACGUUUGGUGUUUGGAGAUCCUGCCUCGUAAAAUAUUCUUAGGUGCAGCUUCAUUUUAUUGACUGUAGAACGUAUUUUUGGAUGUAAAUGUGCAUUUCACGACAAAUAAACAAGGUUUAUG
ensembl:lncRNA